rnacentral:rRNA from 1 species
CAGUAGCCGCGGGAAUACGUAGGUGGCAAGCGUUGUCCGGAAUUAUUGGGCGUAAAGGGCUCGCAGGCGGUUUCUUAAGUCUGAUGUGAAAGCCCCCGGCUCAACCGGGGAGGGUCAUUGGAAACUGGGAAACUUGAGUGCAGAAGAGGAGAGUGGAAUUCCACGUGUAGCGGUGAAAUGCGUAGAGAUGUGGAGGAACACCAGUGGCGAAGGCGACUCUCUGGUCUGUAACCGACGCUGAGGAGCGAAAGCGUGGGGAGCGAACAGGAUUAGAUACCCCAGUAGUCCCUGUCUCUUAUAC